rnacentral:rRNA from 1 species
UACGUAGGGGGCGAGCGUUGUCCGGAUUUAUUGAGCGUAAAGAGCUCGUAGGCGGUUCGAUAAGUCGGACGUGAAAUCUCCACGCUCAACGUGGAGGGGCCGUUCGAUACUGUCGUGACUCGAGUCCGGUAGGGGAGUGUGGAAUUCCCGGUGUAGCGGUGAAAUGCGCAGAUAUCAGGAGGAACACCGAUUGCGAAGGCAGCUCGCUGGGACGUUACUGACGCUGAGACGCGAAAGCGUGGGGAGCAAACAGG